rnacentral:rRNA from 1 species
UUAACACAUGCAAGUCGAGGGGCAGCAUUUUAGUUUGCUUGCAAACUGAAGAUGGCGACCGGCGCACGGGUGAGUAACACGUAUCCAACCUGCCGAUAACUCCGGAAUAGCCUUUCGAAAGAAAGAUUAAUACCGGAUAGCAUACGAAUAUCGCAUGAUAUUUUUAUUAAAGAAUUUCGGUUAUCGAUGGGGAUGCGUUCCAUUAGUUUGUUGGCGGGGUAACGGCCCACCAAGACUACGAUGGAUAGGGGUUCUGAGAGGAAGGUCCCCCACAUUGGAACUGAGACACGGUCCAAACUCCUACGGGAGGCAGCAGUGAGGAAUAUUGGUCAAUGGGCGAGAGCCUGAACCAGCCAAGUAGCGUGAAGGAUGAAGGCUCUAUGGGUCGUAAACUUCUUUUAUAUGGGAAUAAAGUUUUCCACGUGUGGAAUUUUGUAUGUACCAUAUGAAUAAGGAUCGGCUAACUCCGUGCCAGCAGCCGCGGUAAUACGGAGGAUCCGAGCGUUAUCCGGAUUUAUUGGGUUUAAAGGGAGCGUAGGUGGAUUGUUAAGUCAGUUGUGAAAGUUUGCGGCUCAACCGUAAAAUUGCAGUUGAAACUGGCAGUCUUGAGUACAGUAGAGGUGGGCGGAAUUCGUGGUGUAGCGGUGAAAUGCUUAGAUAUCACGAAGAACUCCGAUUGCGAAGGCAGCUCACUAGACUGUCACUGACACUGAUGCUCGAAAGUGUGGGUAUCAAACAGGAUUAGAUACCCUGGUAGUCCACACAGUAAACGAUGAAUACUCGCUGUUUGCGAUAUACAGUAAGCGGCCAAGCGAAAGCAUUAAGUAUUCCACCUGGGGAGUACGCCGGCAACGGUGAAACUCAAAGGAAUUGACGGGGGCCCGCACAAGCGGAGGAACAUGUGGUUUAAUUCGAUGAUACGCGAGGAACCUUACCCGGGCUUAAAUUGCAACAGAAUAUAUUGGAAACAGUAUAGCCGUAAGGCUGUUGUGAAGGUGCUGCAUGGUUGUCGUCAGCUCGUGCCGUGAGGUGUCGGCUUAAGUGCCAUAACGAGCGCAACCCUUAUCUUUAGUUACUAACAGGUCAUGCUGAGGACUCUAGAGAGACUGCCGUCGUAAGAUGUGAGGAAGGUGGGGAUGACGUCAAAUCAGCACGGCCCUUACGUCCGGGGCUACACACGUGUUACAAUGGGGGGUACAGAAGGCGGCUACCUGGUGACAGGAUGCUAAUCCCAAAAACCUCUCUCAGUUCGGAUCGAAGUCUGCAACCCGACUUCGUGAAGCUGGAUUCGCUAGUAAUCGCGCAUCAGCCAUGGCGCGGUGAAUACGUUCCCGGGCCUUGUACACACCGCCCGUCAAGCCAUGAAAGCCGGGGGUACCUGAAGUACGUAACCGCAAGGAGCGUCCUAGGGUAAAACUGGUAAUUGGGGCUAAGA